rnacentral:lncRNA from 10 species
GCCAUAUUGUCAGCAGGCUCACCUCUAGAUUGCAGCAGGCAGCCUGGGAUGCCCACGCCUGCCAAGGUACAGAGAAGGUAUCAUCUGUGAAGAACAGGACCUCAUCAGACACUAGAUCUGCUGGCACCUUGAUCUUGGAUUUCCCAGCCUCCAGAAUUGUGAGCAAUGAAUUUCUGUUGUUUAUAAAUUACCCCGUCUAAAGUAUUUUGUUAUAGCAACAGGAAUGAACUUAGAUACCACUAUACACACUCUGCUUGCACUGAUGGUGCUUUGGAGGUUGAAGGAAUUGGGUGUUCGAUAUGUGCUGAAGAGUUAAGGGAAAAGGGCAGUUGUUGCAUGUUACUGGAAUUGAAAAGUAGAAAAGCGAACAUUUAUGUGACUAAGAAAAAUGGAAAUCCCUUAGCCCUGAAGAUCUUCAGUGAUAUUAGGAAGAUUCUCUCUUUCCCAUCACAUAUGGAUUUAGGGUUAAAGUCACUCCACUUAAAUAUUAUGGCAACAGAGAGGCGCUCAGGACCUGGAGACCUCCAAGCUGCUGCUGACUUUUGAGUUUCACAACGUUGAGAAGACAUAUUGAGCAUCCACCAUCGGCCAGGCAGAUCAAAGAAUGGAUCUGGGAGGGAAGUAGUGAGUGGAUGAAGAGAAACACAAAAAAGCUGAAAAUGCCAGACACAUCCCGAUCUCCCUUGCACCAAGCAGAGCCGUGGCCUGGGCUCAGCCAAUCAGACUCAUCGCUCCUGAGCUGAAUUACAAGCGAAUGAAGUGGAGAAGGAGGGACCCUGCAGGAUCCAUUCUAGCAAGGGCGUUGGCAGCCACAGCAGCCACAACAGUUUCCCCGAGGCGGCAGAUCUGGUGGCUGCAUCUGAAUGGAACAGCAGAGGGCUGGCAUUGUAAACUAUGAGCUGCAGGUCCACAGCAGCAACAGCGGAGUCUGCACAGGGCCGGUUCUGAGCCUGCUUUCCAACAUCAUCCCAGCUGUAUGGCCUCCAAGGCUGGUUUUAGGCUCUCUCAUAUACUCUGUGUGCUAUCCAAUAUCCUACAAUAAAUUCCUUUCUGGUGUAAAUCAGGAAAAAUUAGUUUGUUGCUUGCAAACUAAGCACCCUGGCUGUUAUAUGCACAACUUCUGGAAGGGCACACAGACACAAUCCAUUACUAAAAUGACUAGUCUUAUUGAAAGCUUUCUA